rnacentral:rRNA from 1 species
AGCAGCAGAUUCAUUUUCUGCCACCGAAUACAUUAGCAUGGGAUAAUGGAAUAGGACCCUGUCCUCCUAUUUUCAGUUGGUUUUGGCAGCGCGAGGACUAGGGUAAUGAUUAAUAGGGAUAGUUGGGGGCAUUAAUAUUUAAUUGUCAGAGGUGAAAUUCUUGGAUUUAUGAAAGAUUAACUUCUGCGAAAGCAUCUGCCAAGGAUGUUUUCAUUAAUCAAGAACGAAAGUUAGGGGAUCGAAGACGAUCAGAUACCGUCGUAGUCUUAACCAUAAACGAUGCCGACCAGCGAUUAGGAGACGUUGAAUACAAAACACCACCAUCGGCGCGGUCGUCCUUGGCGCGUUCGUGUUCACGCACGGGCGCGCGAGGGCGGCUUAGCCCGGUGGCACCGGUGAAUGACUCCCCUAGCA